GUAAAUUCAUGAAGGAGGCAUGGUCGUAAUUUCUUUGUGUGACCAGAGGAGGGCGCUUUAUGUUAUGCUGACUGGAAGGAAUUUGGGCCUGUGUGCAUUGCAUUUUGGGAAGAAGACAGCUAGAAAUGAAUGGCCGAUGCUUUGUGGAAGGAGUGCACUUUAUUUUUCAUAGUUACAGAACUGUAUGCUUCUGAGUUUCCCAAGGAAGUGCCCACAAGACUGUAGACAGAGCGGAUGUUUUGUUCUUUGUUCAUUAAUGAAGACUCCGAUUGGUUUCUUUUGUCUGCCGAGUGCUGGAUCUGCGUCGAGUUAUCAGCGGUGAUUUCAACCAGGUUUCCCGUCAGAGGCGUGGCGGAGUUGAAGGGGAUGUUAAUCCUCCACUCUCAUCACCUGUUGGAGAAGUGCACAUACCUGGAGAGGAGCCUGAACCGCGCGCAGUAACAGUUCAUUACACACACACUACCCGGGUAGCACACACAUAAACACAAAUUGACUUUGACUGACAUGAAUGCAGAUUCAACUGACUCUAUUGACUUGAUUCACUGAACGUUGAUUCAAGAACAGCUAUAUGCUGUGAGAGGACAAUUUAUGUUAUUGUUGUUUACUAUUUUUUUUCUAUUAUUGAGGAUUUUGAAGCAACAACUGUUUCCAAUUUGUUUUUGAUGUUGGAAUAAAACUACUUGUGUUCACUA